GUAUGGUGAUGAGACCCAUGCGUGUCAGCUGACUCCGGAACCCCCCGCCGGGUCGCCGCUCCGCUCGACGUUUUGCCGAGUCAGAGUUCUCGGCUCGGCGGGGGUCCCGAGACGUGAUCAGACUCUCACAUAUCUGAAUAC